rnacentral:rRNA from 1 species
UACGAAGGGGGCUAGCGUUGCUCGGAAUCACUGGGCGUAAAGCGCACGUAGGCGGAUUGCUAAGUCAGGGGUGAAAUCCUGGAGCUCAACUCCAGAACUGCCUUUGAUACUGGCGAUCUUGAGUCCGGGAGAGGUGAGUGGAACUGCGAGUGUAGAGGUGAAAUUCGUAGAUAUUCGCAAGAACACCAGUGGCGAAGGCGGCUCACUGGACUGGUAUUGACGCUGAGGUGCGAAAGCGUGGGGAGCAAACAGGG